UGGGGAAUAUUGCACAAUGGGCGCAAGCCUGAUGCAGCAACGCCGCGUGAGGGACGACGGCCUUCGGGUUGUAAACCUCUUUUAGCAGGGAAGAAGCGAAAGUGACGGUACCUGCAGAAAAAGCGCCGGCUAACUACGUGCCAGCAGCCGCGGUAAUACGUAGGGCGCAAGCGUUAUCCGGAAUUAUUGGGCGUAAAGAGCUCGUAGGCGGUUUGUCGCGUCUGCUGUGAAAUCCGGAGGCUCAACCUCCGGCCUGCAGUGGGUACGGGCAGACUAGAGUGCGGUAGGGGAGAUUGGAAUUCCUGGUGUAGCGGUGGAAUGCGCAGAUAUCAGGAGGAACACCGAUGGCGAAGGCAGAUCUCUGGGCCGUAACUGACGCUGAGGAGCGAAAGGGUGGGGAGCAAACAGGCUUAGAUACCCUGGUAGUCCACCCCGUAAACGUUGGGAACUAGUUGUGGGGUCCAUUCCACGGAUUCCGUGACGCAGCUAACGCAUUAAGUUCCCCGCCUGGGGA
rnacentral:rRNA from 1 species